rnacentral:tRNA from 1 species
UUUUUUAUGGCCAAAUUGGUAAAGGCAUCGCCAAUCACAGUCGAGGAUGCGGGUUCGAGUCCCGCUGGAAGAU